rnacentral:tRNA from 1 species
GGGACUUUAGCUCAGUUGGUAGAGCACUUCGUUCACAUCGAAGGGGUCACUGGUUCGAGUCCAGCAAGUCCCACCA